rnacentral:rRNA from 1 species
AAUAGAUACCCGGGUAGUCCACGCCGUAAACGGUGGGCACUAGAUGUGGGGCUCUUUCCAUGAGUUCCGCGUCGCAGCUAACGCAUUAAGUGCCCCGCCUGGGGAGUACGGCCGCAAGGCUAAAACUCAAAGGAAUUGACGGGGGCCCGCACAAGCGGCGGAGCAUGCGGAUUAAUUCGAUGCAACGUGAAGAACCUUACCAAGGCUUGACAUAUACGGUCUAUCCCUAGAGAUAGGGGAGUGCUUCGGCGCCGUAUACAGGUGGUGCAUGGUUGUCGUCAGCUCGUGUCGUGAGAUGUUGGGUUAAGUCCCGCAACGAGCGCAACCCUCGUUCUAUGUUGCCAGCACGUAAUGGUGGGGACUCAUAGGAGACUGCCGGGGUCAACUCGGAGGAAGGUGGGGAUGACGUCAAAAUCACUCAUCGUCCCCUUAGUGUCGGUUGGGUCCUUACGACCGCUAGUGCCUAACAAGUCGGGCCGGUAACGAAAGGGCUGCAAGUACCGGUAAGGUGGAGCGAAUAACCCGAAAAGCCGGUCUCGUAGUUCGGAUUGAGGUCUGACUAACCG